rnacentral:rRNA from 1 species
AUGGACUGCGCAUUCUAUAUGUACAUGAACCUGAAGCACUACUCCAAUGAUGGAACAGCAGCAACCUUAAAGCGAGAACAAGUACCAGAGUUGAGGAAAAAAAUUCUAUAUCAACUAAUAAGUCAACACAGAGGGAAUACCAAACUGUCACUAAUCAAGUGUACAACAGAUAUGCUGAAGUAUGAAGUAGAUAUGGAAGACAAAGAAAUGCAACAGGCAGAAUGUUGCGUACUAGAAGAGUUUCCGCCAACUCCCAAGCCAAAAGAACAUAUUAUGCGUGCGACAACCACAAAAGAGCAUGAAGUUAUUGAUAUAUCCAGUAAACACAAAGAGAUUAUGGAUGUCAGCAGCCACGCCGUCGCCCAAGAAUCUUGCACAGACCACGAACAAAAUGAUCCACCAAUACAACCAGAUCAACCACCACCAGACGACAAGAUACCACACCAUGCCGAAGAGGAAACGGACGAGCAAAAUAUCAACAGCAAUAUCACGAGCACAGAGCAACUGGAACAAAUAGGCACUGAUUUGAAAGAGGAUGACAGAAGCAACGGCGUACCAAAUACACAACAACAGGUUUCCAAGCAGAAGAAACAGCCUGUUCUUCUUCAAGAAGAAACAGGCUCGACAAGCAAUCAGCAAGGCACCUCCAGCACCAUCUCUUUAGAUUUCCUAAAACCAAAAACAAUGGAAAAGCAUGAAGAAGUUGAUGAAUUUCUUUCAAGCCUUAACCCGCUACAACUAGACGAAUACAACGAAUUUGUAAAGAUGGGCUAUCAGUUCGAUGUAAUCAAAACAUGGCUGAACGACUAUGAAAGCUAUGAAUUCAAAAAAGAUGUCAAGCCGUAUCUGACAAUCUUGCAGCAAGAAUCAGGAGAACAUUCAAUGCCUCAAUCAUCUGAGAAUAGCUCACACAAGAAAAUCUCGGUCAAGAAAAGGCCGGUAAAGCCUUCAAGAAGGCUCCUUGGAGAAAUCAUGAUUCCUACUUUUGUCCCAGGAGAUUUCAAAUUUAUGAACAAAGCCAGAGCACUCCAUGAAUACUUAUUCAGCAAAGAAGGACAGAACGAAUGCGGAGAUAUAAACAUAUAUAUUAGCUCGAUGCGACCCGAUUGGAUUACAGGACAACAAAUAAUGGAACAGCUACAGAAAGGAGAUCAUGGACAGAUGGAGGGCUCCAUCGCAAACGCAUUGUUCGACAAAUGGACAGUGCAGCAACAAUACAACACAACCGAUAAAGCCAUACUUCCCGCAGAAUUUGCAAACAUCGUGCUCGGUGUUAAGAUUGGAGAAAAAGGAGGACUAGCAGAAUUCAAUGAGGAAGAAGCAUUGAAACAGUUUGCACCCCUUGUAACAGGGAAGGAACUUUUAAAGAAAAAGCUGAUUAUGACACCUCACAACACAGCUAUACACUACACACUGUACGUGCCCAACAAGUACACGAGCUCCAUCGACAUACUUGACUCACUGAAUUACAGACACGGAGACGGAAAAAAUACAUGGAAAACACACCAUAAGGAUCACCAAGAACUGGGUACCCAAUGCGGACACUUCAUGGUUCAAUUUGCAAAAUACUGGAAUGGCAUUGAUCUCAUAAAACAUGAUGAGGAUUUCGAUCAAAGCAACGUAGAUGCCGAGUGGAAACCAGAGUUCCUUUUUACAGCCAUAUUUGGUGAAACAAACCAAGUAAAGUGCGAGCAACUACCUGGAAGAAUCAAAGAAUUCAAACCAGAAACUUCAAAGUUCUUUUCCACCAACAAAGCAAAGAAUCAGCUGGUUCCCAUGUAUCUCAAGGAAAAUCAACGGAAAAAGCUCUCAACAGCAAACAUGCAACAAGUAUUUUGUACGCAGAUAUUCAUUCCAAUAGAGAAGCAUGACCGCUAUGUACUAUAUGUGCUGGACAAAUACAAAUACAAAGUUCACAUUAUUGAUCCUCGAGAAACGACUCACGAGGAAUUUGAGAAAGAAAAGAUAGACAUCGAAAAAUUGCAUCCAAAAGAAGCAUGUUGA